UACGUAGGGUGCGAGCGUUGCCCGGAAUUAUUGGGCGUAAAGAGCGUGUAGGCGGUCCGGUAAGUCCGCUGUGAAAGUCGGGGGCUCAACCCUCGAAUGCCGGUGGAUACUGUCGGGCUAGAGUGCGGAAGAGGCGAGUGGAAUUCCUGGUGUAGCGGUGAAAUGCGCAGAUAUCAGGAGGAACACCUAUUGCGAAGGCAGCUCGCUGGGACGUAACUGACGCUGAGACGCGAAAGCGUGGGGAGCAAACAGG
rnacentral:rRNA from 1 species